rnacentral:rRNA from 1 species
UUGUACAGGAUAGGUAGGAGCCUUUGAAACGUGAGCGCUAGCUUACGUGGAGGCGCUGGUGGGAUACUACCCUAGCUGUGUUGGCUUUCUAACCCGCACCACUUAUCGUGGUGGGAGACAGUGUCAGGCGGGCAGUUUGACUGGGGCGGUCGCCUCCUAAAAGGUAACGGAGGCGCUCAAAGGUUCCCUCAGAAUGGUUGGAAAUCAUUCAUAGAGUGUAAAGGCAUAAGGGAGCUUGACUGCGAGACCUACAAGUCGAGCAGGGUCGAAAGACGGACUUAGUGAUCCGGUGGUUCCGCAUGGAAGGGCCAUCGCUCAACGGAUAAAAGCUACCCCGGGGAUAACAGGCUUAUCUCCCCCAAGAGUUCACAUCGACGGGGAGGUUUGGCACCUCGAUGUCGGCUCAUCGCA